rnacentral:rRNA from 1 species
AUUGAACGCUGGCGGCAGGCCUAAUACAUGCAAGUCGAACGAGUGGCGGAGGGGUGAGUAAUGGCGGGGAAACUGCCUGACGGAGGGGGAUAACUACUGGAAAAGGUGGAUACUACCGCAUACCAUGAGAUCUGGCCACGUGGGAUUAGCUUGUUGGUGGGGUAAAGGCUCACCAAGGCGACGAGCCCUAGCUGGGCUGAGAGGAUGACCAGCCACACUGGAACUGAGACACGGUCCAGACUCCUACGGGAGGCAGCAGUGGGGAAUAUUGUGCAAUGGGCGCAAGCCUGAUGCAGCCAUGCCGCGUGAAUGAAGAAGGCUUUCGGAUUGUAAAGUUCUGUCAGCGGGGAGGCGGUACCCGAAGAGAAAGCAACGGCUAACUCCGUGCCAGCAGCCGCGGUAAUAC